rnacentral:rRNA from 1 species
UUCGUAGUGACCUGCGGAGGAUCAUUAUCGUACAACGAGGGGGGCCCGAGGGCUGUCGCUGACCCCGGUCGUGCACGCCCUUGACGGUCAUCCUCACACAAUCUAAUCCAUCUCACCUUUUGUGCAUCACCGCGUGGGCCUCGAAAGGGGCCUGUGCCUUUUUAUACACGAACACCCCUUAGUGUAGAAUGUCUUUGCCUUUGUAUGCAAUCAAUACAACUUUCAACAACGGAUCUCUUGGCUCUCGCAUCGAUGAAGAACGCAGCGAAAUGCGAUACGUAAUGUGAAUUGCAGAAUUCAGUGAAUCAUCGAAUCUUUGAACGCACCUUGCGCCCCUUGGCAUUCCGAGGGGCACACCCGUUUGAGUGUCGUGAAAUCCUCAACCCUUCUCCCUUUUUGGGGAAAGGGUUUGGAAUUUGGAGGCUUUUGCUGGCCCCUUCUUUUGAAGCCAGCUCCUCUUAAAUGCAUUAGCAGGGCCUCCUUAGCCGGAUCCCUUGACGUGAUAAAGUCUUUACGUCCCGGGGCUUCUUGGCUCUAACCUGCUUCCAAUCGUCUCAUCGAGACUAAAACCAAAUCUGACCUUGACCUCAAAUCGGGUGAGACUACCCGCUGAACUUAAGCAUAUCAAUAAGCGGAGGAAAAGAAACUAACAAGGAUUCCCCUAGUAACUGCGAGUGAAGCGGGAAAAGCUCAAAUUUAAAAUCUGGCGGUCUUUGGCCGUUCCGAGUUGUAAUUUAGAGAAGCGUCUUCCGCGCUGGAC